GACGAACGCUGGCGGCGUGCUUAACACAUGCAAGUCGAACGAAGAGCGAUGGAAGCUUGCUUCUAUCAAUCUUAGUGGCGAACGGGUGAGUAACGCGUAAUCAACCUGCCCUUCAGAGGGGGACAACAGUUGGAAACGACUGCUAAUACCGCAUACGAUCUAACCUCGGCAUCGAGGAUGGAUGAAAGGUGGCCUCUAUGUAUAAGCUAUCACUGAAGGAGGGGAUUGCGUCUGAUUAGCUAGUUGGAGGGGUAACGGCCCACCAAGGCGAUGAUCAGUAGCCGGUCUGAGAGGAUGAACGGCCACAUUGGGACUGAGACACGGCCCAGACUCCUACGGGAGGCAGCAGUGGGGAAUCUUCCGCAAUGGACGAAAGUCUGACGGAGCAACGCCGCGUGAGUGAUGACGGCCUUCGGGUUGUAAAGCUCUGUUAAUCGGGACGAAAGGCCUUCUUGCGAACAGUUAGAAGGAUUGACGGUACCGGAAUAGAAAGCC
rnacentral:rRNA from 1 species